GGCUCCCUGCCGAGGGGCAGGCAGGGGGGAUGAGGACAGGUCUAUCGGGACGCAAGGCCGACCCACCCUCCUGAGAGGCCCUGCCCGCGGGGAAGGCAGAAAGGCGGCCCCGGGACCCGGUGGCUUUCUAGGGUGUUUCACUUCUGGGCCUGCGGUUCUGUGGCUGCGUAGGGGCGUUGGUGAGCAGGGGAUAUAAUGGAUGUCUGUGGUAAGAGGAGCUUAUUCCCGAGAGGAAAUGGUAAUCAGUAAUGAAGUUGCAACAAGAAUUCCAAGGGUAAUCAAGAGAGCAUUCAUGGGCUUGGAAUGACUGGGUCUUAAAUGAGGGCCAUUUAUUAAGUUUGAAAUGUCUUCAACACUUUAAUGAAUCUAAAAGAGUCUUGCAGAACUGAGACAACCAGGAAGCAUUUCAUUUCAUGCUCAGAUUUUUAACUGCUUCCUUCUUAGAAGAACAAAGAAAUCUCCCACAGACUGAGAGCUAACAGCCAAUAUACUGGAGCAAAGUGCAGUGUCUGCUCCCAUUUGCUUAAUUGUGGCUCAUGACAGCUUCCAAGAGAUCCCCUUUCCUCACCAGGAAGUUCUGGAGCACCACUCACUUAUUUAAAAAUGUUUCUCUAUUUGAGGCUGUGUCACAAAGAGGUGAUAGAACCUUUUUGUAUCCUUGAUUACCAUUGAGCCAUUAGGGAAAUCCCUACCAAACGGAACGAAACAAUGCAGAGCAGAAAUUUUCACGCAAUUUUUGGUUGAUAUUAUUGCACAGCCUGUUCAGUGACAACUGUGAGAUUAUUUGGAAUAAUAUUUUACUGUACUGUCUGUACAGUAAAAUAUAAUGCAAACAAUAGUCAUAGUCAUCCCUAGAUGACACCCAAGGUGUUAUAUCAGGCAGGUUCCCCAAAAUUACAGCAAGCAAGAUGCCGGCUUAUAUUCUCUUCUUGAAAGGAGGUCCCCUUGUUUCACUACUGCAUCAGUCCAGUGCUUCAAUGCUGUUUUUUAUCAUGCCAGAAUGUUACAUGUAACAUUUUAUUGUGCUUUACAUUCAAAAUACACCAUCAUUCUGGACUUGGUUAGGGUAUAAUAUCAAUUUUUACAACAAUUUAACACAUUUUGUCACAUAGAUCUAAACUAAAGAGCUGCUUCUUUUCUGUUUUCUGGCAUACUAACAUCUCUAAAAGUAAACAGCAUGUCCAUAGUUUGCUGUUCAUAACUAAACUAUAAUCAGUCUGUGAGAUUCAGGCAUUUAAAGCCAGUUUUGUCAUUUUCUUCAGUUUACUUGUUUAUACUGUAGCUCAUCAGUUAAGGCAAUUUCAGUCUGUGAUAGAGAUCAUUACUGAAUGUUAUUCUCUGGUGUUUCAUUGCCAAUCCUCUGUAUGACACACACCAACUAUGCUAUAACCUUUCUAAAGGAAACUUAAUUUUACAGUUCUGUAAACAUUUUUUAUUCUAAAAUAAUACUUCUUCAAUUAUUUUACCAGUUAUUAAAUUAUUUAAUUGUUAUUAAAUUAUUUUACUUAUUAUUUUUGAUAUAUUGGCUUUUGCAUUUACAUUUCCAAGUCUUAGGUAGUUUUUUUUUCUUUGUAGUUAUUCUUAGUUUGAAAGGCUCUACUAUUUUUAAUCAAAAUAAAGAAAAAUGAUGGGCAUUCCCCUAAUUGGAGAAAAUAUUGUACCAUAAUUGAAUAAACUCUUACAAUGCCUUGCCAGAGCACUGAUGCAGGGGUCAUUUACAUGACUGAUGCUGUCUCUCAAAGAUGCUGAGAGAUUCAUAGGCUUCAUUAGAUUCCAGGGAGGGCCUGUACCAGAGAUUCCCUACUUGAUUAGGAGAGAUGCAUUGUUCCAUCUGGCAAAAAGAGGCAGUGAUGUAAGUGAGAAUAAAGGGCAAGAACUUUACUCCGUUGAAGAAAAUAGACAAAAGGGUAAAUAUCUAGAUACAUCUGCCUUGUCAGUUCAACACAAAAGGGCAGGAGAACUGGAAACCUUCAAAUGAGUUUCUAUCGACCAAAGGAAUAGCAUAGUCUCAUUAAAAGGAGUGGCACGGGAAGAUGCAAAGCUGCCCAGGGGCUUCUAACUGUUCUAGUACUAUUUGUUCACCCUUUAUUUAACACCACCAUUAGAAAGCCUAAUGGACUGUUUAUAUCAGACUGUUAGACACAUGGCAAGAUCUUUAGUAAUUGGAGUGUGAUAUAUAGUAAUGGGUUAUUGUUUGCUUGGUGCUACCUACAUUCAGGCCAGUGCUGAAUAUUUAUUUACUGCAGAUUCCAGAUAUAAAGGCAGAGGUGAUAGAGGUGCCAGAGAAAAAUGCUAGGGUGAAAACAGGCUUUCCUGAGGCCCUGCAAGCUGAAACAUUAGCUGCUUGUUUUAUCUGGAUUUUUUUACACAGCAUGGUGGGUUAUUUGAUAAAAUCAGCUUGAGGCUAUGCUUAGAUCGUGUUUCCUCAGAACACUGUCUGGAAGGCUGUGCCAGACUGUAGUGUCAUUAAAUAUAUAUUACAAAUGCUCCAACAAAUUAGGUAAUUAAUUAAAAUACAUUUCUGUAGGAGAGGCCAUUUGAUAUUGCUAUUCUUCUCAUGGUAGAUUAAGUUUGAUGAUGCUGUAUUUAUGAUAUUCUUUCUGUGCCAUUAAAACCUAUUACAGGCUUUGGAGAAAGCAUAUUUGAAAGCAAGGGUUUUUGUCAGGUAUCAAAUACAUUUGUGAAGUCAAAAACACAUUAGCAAUGUUAAAUUUUCUUUCAUUUCUUCUAGAAAAUAAAUACUGAAUGUGUAGGACUGAAGAUAAAGCAAUAAAACUCUUACAGAGGAAUUGAAAAACUCCAACAAAACAACCAAGAACACUCUUCCCACUCCACAGUCCUGAUUUUUGUCAGACUAGCCUUUGUGCCUCUCUAGAGUGUGAGUACAUUGUAGGCUUAGCUGGGUUUUGUAUUUGCUGUAGCAACAUAAUGCAAAUAAACAAAGUAUGAAGGACAUCUAGCCCCAAGUGCUAGCCACAAUUAAAAACUCCCAAACUGUUGUCAAUGUUUGUUUUCUAACUUUUAUAUUGAAAUCAAGUAAUGGUGUACACACAGCAGAAAAAUUCCUGUAAGGAAUCCAGAGCACGUUCUUGAUGCCCAGCUCUGUGCUGGGGGGGCUGUGGGGCUGUGUCUGCAGGAGGAGGUUGGGCAAUUUCUUGUGCAGGGUGGGGAAACAGUUGUAUUCCUUUGGGAAAGACCAACGCAGGCUGCCAGCAGGGCUCCCUCGUGAGAAAGAAGACCAAACCCUGAGGAGCAGCCCCUA